UGUACCUAUAGGUUGGCAAUUGGUGAUUGGUGGAGAAAUGUGUACCUACAGUAUAAGAAUGCCUGCCAAAUGCCAUGUAUUUACAGCCAGUCUUUCAGAAUUUAUUCUGCUGGUUGUCUCUGUGCACAGAUAAUAAACUGCUUUUCUCCAAAGAAGAUUUUGCUUUCCUGGUACUUUUGUUCCCUCCAAGGUCCGGGGAUGGCGUGGCUGAUGGAUCCCUAGGUAAAUAAGGCUUCAUUUCUUUGGGGGCUCGUCCGGGAUAAGCCCCCUCCCCAAAUACGGACCGGAGGGCCAGGCUCAACCAAGGUGAACAGCUCAGCAGCGUUUGCAGGCUUCAGCGCGCACCCCGCCUGUUUCGUGGGGGAAGCCGGCCACACUGUCCUGUAGUGGAGACAUCUUGUUGAGGGAGAAAAACAAAGAGGACGGCGCCGAGGGGACAGGUCCGCAGCGGAAAACGGUGGACCCAGGCUCGCACCCCAUGUGUGUUAACUGAACCGUUCCAUCAGUUCGAGCCAGGUGAUGAAGUGUGGGUGAAAGACUGGCAGCGAGCCCCCCUACAGCCUUGCUGGAAGGGACCAUACACUGUGCUACUUUCUACACCUACUGCUGUGAAGGUUGCUGG